rnacentral:lncRNA from 1 species
UUUCUCUAUUUCUCUCUUGGAACUCGAAGUCUUGAACCCUCUAGAAUUAAAAGAGAGAGGCUAAAAAAGAGUAAUUCUUUGUGCACCGUCUGUGGUGUAAAAAAUCUGACAUGGAGUGCACUGCUUCCUCCGAUUGGACCAUGUAACCACUGCUUUCCGACAUAUAUUUAAUGUCUGCAAAUUAAUAAUUUUGUUUAAAAAUUUUAUAUAAUGAAAAUACUCCUGUCC